ensembl:lncRNA
GAAGCACUGUGUUGUGCCCGUCUUGGUGCGCUGCUGGUGGCUGUCUAACUCUCUCUCUCCCUCAGGCUGGAAUUGUAUGAUUGUGAAGACAUCGCGAACCUUAAAGGUUGAGAAGUGAACGGAUUAUACGGCGAACUGAGACGACGUGAAAAAGGGGAUUGGAAGCGGCAUUGAUGUGAGUACUAAGAGCCAGUCGAAAGUGCCCUGUUUGAUACCUGUGGAGAGAAAAGGAGAGAGAGUGAAUAACACGAGGAGGAAUAGAGCGAACCCUGUACUUACAGUACGCUGUGUCCAGCCCAGAGGUGAGAGCCAUUCAAAGCAAACUAACUGUGCUAUUGUGCCCAAGUUGAUACCUGUGGAGAGAAAAGGAGAGAGAGUGGGUAACACGAGGAGAGACCGAGGAAACCUGUACUUACGCCGCUGCCUGUGGAGAAAGAGAAAGCGAGUGAGCACCCAAGGAACGAACUGUGUGAACCAGUACUUACUGUGAGCUGUAAUCAGCGAAGAGCCGUUGCCUGUGGAGGAAGAGAAAGAGAGUGAGCACCCCGAGAACGAACUGUGUGAACCAGUACUUACCGUGAGCUGUAUUCAGCGAAGAGGAGGAAGAAGGAGGGCGCUACGGAUACCUAAGACUCAGGCCGGGGCCCGAGUCCCACGCCCCGGAUCCCCGUGGCCCCCUUGCUCCCUGACCUCUUCCCGGCCAUAGCCCAUCUGGAGGGCCGAGUCAGAGUUUAGUUUUAAUUGCCCUUUUCCUAUUCCCCAAGCUAUUUUUAAAUAUUUAAAUAAAGAUUGUUUUAUCACUUACUUGUUCUCG